GGAGGAGGAGGAGGUAUGGCUCAGUAUUAUAAUUUUUUUCAUCAUCAUCAUCAUUAUCAUCAUCAGUCAUCAUUCUUAAUUCACUGUAAAAAAAAAGUACCUAUCCCAACACCCCUCCCCCCCCCCUCCCCCUACACCCUUGCUGAGGUAUAACGCAAAGGUACAAUGAAAGGGAGGCGGAGCACAAUGAACACUUUAUUGCACCGUGGUCGAGACGCGCGAAUCAUUUGAAUUUGCACCAGAACGUUUGUACAUGAACCACUAAACCUAUAUAUGAGGUUUCUUGGGAGUCAUCACCCACCGCCACCUCACCAGUACCUUCAUCCCCCUUCAUCAAAACACCUCCCGCAUUCUCCUCACACUCACGUACACCCUCGCAUGCUCACUCACACUCGUCGGUAUCCUCUCAUCCAUCCUCCUAUCCCUCUAGCUAUUUAGAUUAAACUAGAGGGAUUGAAGUGGUUUGGAAGUCUGUCUAAGAAGGUAUAGUUCGCGUCCCUCAUUUUCUCUCCCAAUAGACAUAAACACACAUCUAGGUCGGUAUCCUCUCAUCCAUCCUCCUAUUCCUCUAGCUAUUUAGAUCAAACUAGUGGGAUUGAGGUAGUUUAAAAGUCUGUCUAGGAAGGUAUAGUUGGCGUCCCUUAUUAAUUUUCUCCCCCAAUAGACAUAAACACACAUCUACGUCGUUAUCUUCUCAUCCAUCCUUCUCUCCGUCUAGCUAUUCAGGUUAAACUAGAGGGAUUGAGGUAGUUUGAAAGUCUGUCUAGAAAGGUAUAGUUGGCGUCCCUUAUUCUCUU